AGUCGGGACCUAAGGCGAGGCCGACAGGCGUAGUCGAUGGACAACGGGUUGAUAUUCCCGUACCGGCGAAACAACGCCCGUGCCGGGGCACGCGAUGCUAAGCAUGCGAGAUUGUCUGUUGCCUUUCGGGGUGGCGGGUGGUUGAGUCUGUGACCCGAGUGUGUAGUAGGCAAGCUGCGGAGGGACGCAGGAAGGUAGCUCAUCCUCAGCGUUGGUUGUCUGAGGCUAAGUGUGUAGGGUGGGGUGUAGGUAAAUCCGCAUUCCGUGAUGCCUGAGACAUGAUGGGCCUGCACUGUUUUGGUGUGGGUUGAGUGAUCCUAUGCUGCCUAGAAAAGCUUCGUUAGCGAGUUGUUAGCCGCCCGUACCCGAAACCGACACAGGUGGAUAGGUAGAGUAUACCGAGGCGAUCGGGAUAAUCGUGGUGAAGGAACUCGGCAAAAUACCCCCGUAACUUCGGGAUAAGGGGGACCUGAUACGUGUUAAACCUUUGCGUUGAGAGCGUUGAGGGUCGCAGAGACCAGGCCCAAGCGACUGUUUACUAAAAACACAGGUCCGUGCCAACUCGUAAGAGGACGUAUACGGACUGACUCCUGCCCGGUGCUGGAAGGUUAAGGGGAACCGUCAGCCGCAUUUUGUGUGGUGAAGCGGUGAACUUAAGCCCCAGUAAACGGCGGUGGUAACUAUAACCAUCCUAAGGUAGCGAAAUUCCUUGUCGGGUAAGUUCCGACCUGCACGAAUGGAGUAACGAUUUGGGCGCUGUCUCCACCACGAACCCGGUGAAAUUGCAUUACGAGUAAAGAUGCUCGUUACGCGCAGCAGGACGGAAAGACCCCGGGACCUUUACUAUAGUUUGGUAUUGGUGAUCGGUGUGACUUGUGUAGGAUAGGUGGGAGACUGUGAAACCGGGACGCUAGUUCCGGUGGAGUCAUCGUUGAAAUACCACUCUGGUCACUCUGGUUAUCUAACCUAGGACCGUUAUCCGGUUCAGGGACAGUGCCUGAUGGGUAGUUUGACUGGGGCGGUCGCCUCCUAAAAGGUAACGGAGGCGCCCAAAGGUUCCCUCAGCCUGGUUGGCAAUCAGGUUACGAGUGUAAGUGCACAAGGGAGCUUGACUGCGAGACUGACGGGUCGAGCAGGGACGAAAGUCGGGACUAGUGAUCUUCUGGUAGCGAAUGGAAGCGCCAGGACUCAACGGAUAAAAGGUACCCCGGGGAUAACAGGCUGAUCUUGCCCGAGCGUCCAUAGCGACGGCAUGGUUUGGCACCUCGAUGUCGGCUCGUCGCAUCCUGGGGCUGGAGUCGGUCCCAAGGGUUGGGCUGUUCGCCCAUUAAAGCGGCACGCGAGCUGGGUUUAGAACGUCGUGAGACAGUUCGGUCCCUAUCCGCUGCGCGCGUAGGAGUCUUGAGAAGGGCUGUCCUUAGUACGAGAGGACCGGGACGGACCAACCUCUGGUGUGCCAGUUGUUCCGCCAGGAGCACGGCUGGUUGGCUACGUUGGGAAGUGAUAACCGCUGAAAGCAUCUAAGCGGGAAGCACGCUUCAAGAUGAGGACUCCCACACCAACAAGGUGGUAAGGCCCCCUGCAGACCACAGGGUCGAUAGGUCGGACGUGGAAGCACAGUAAUGUGUGAAGCUGACCGAUACUAAUAGGCCGAGGGCUUGCCACA
rnacentral:rRNA from 1 species